AAACCAAGAAAGAGAUAGAAGUUGUAUUAUCCGAGAAUCGUAAUGAUGCUUAUUACAAUGUAAGGUCUCCUUUAUAUGGUAGGAGACCUCCCUCGAAAUAAUCAAAAAGUACAGAAGUUGAUGGCUUCCACUCAAUAAAAAGGUUAGGCACUAAACGACAUCGCUUCUUCUUUACCAACUUGGGCCGUGCCCAUAUUUGAGUCGCUCUUAUCGAAAGGGACGUACCCACUCGGCGUGGGGGCGUUACGAGCCAAAUUUUACCCUGUACAAUAUACAAUUUUACCAAGUACAAAAUUUUAUCUACGUUUGAUGAAAAUCAACUCCAGCAUUGAGAAUUUGAGAUAUGUUUUUCGAUACUUAAUUAGUGUAUGCCUACUU
rnacentral:lncRNA from 1 species